rnacentral:lncRNA from 1 species
UUUUGUUUUCUCUGUUUUGUUUUCAGUUUUUCUCUGUUUUGGUUUUUGUUUGCUUUCUUAAAAAAAAUUGCAUGCUUUUUCCUUUGGUUUUUGAGUUACAAUUAUGAGUAUUUUUCUUAGUUCUCUUGGCUAAAGUCUUGUGGUGUGAUGUGAAAAAUUUGUUGUGCAUUUUUAGUAUGAUAGGUAGGACUAUACUCUAAAUUGUAUAUCUUUAGCAGUAGAUCAUUAACCCUGGUGAGCUUUGAGCCUUAUAUGAAUAACAUACAAA